rnacentral:rRNA from 1 species
UACGUAGGGUGCAGGCGUUAAUCGGAAUUACUGGGCGUAAAGCGUGCGCAGGCGGUUUCUUAAGUCAGAUGUGAAAGCCCCGGGCUUAACCUGGGAACUGCGUUUGAAACUGGGAGACUUGAGUGUGGCAGAGGGGGGUGGAAUUCCACGUGUAGCAGUGAAAUGCGUAGAUAUCUGGAGGAACACCGGUGGCGAAGGCGGCAUCCUGGACCGACACUGACACUGAGGAGCGAAAGCCAGGGGAGCAAACGGG